GAUGAACGCUGGCGGCGUGCCUAAUACAUGCAAGUCGAGCGACGCGUGGACGGGUGUGUAACACGUCGAUAACCUCCUAUAAGACUGGGCUACCUUCGGGAAACCGGUGCUAAACCGGCUACUUCUCGAUGAAUCCGCUGUGCAUUAGCUAGUGGUAAGGUAACGGCUUACCAAGGCAACGAUGCAUAGCCGACCUGAGAGGGUGAUCGGCCACACUGGAACUGAGACACGGUCCAGACUCCUACGGGAGGCAGCAGUAGGGAAUCUUCCGCAAUGGGCGAAAGCCUGACGGAGCAACGCCGCGUGAGUGAUGAAGGUCUUCGGAUCGUAAAGCUCUGUUAUUAGGGAAGCGGUACCUAAUCAGAAAGCCACGGCUAACUACGUGCCAGCAGCCGCGGUAAUUC
rnacentral:rRNA from 1 species